GCCUGAGUGGCUCAGUCGGUUAAGCAUCUGACUUUGGCUCAGGUUAUGAUCUCAUGGUUCGUGGGUUUGAGCCCCGCAUUGGGCU
rnacentral:tRNA from 1 species